UACGGAGGGUGCAAGCGUUAAUCGGAAUUACUGGGCGUAAAGCGCACGUAGGUGGUUUGUUAAGCCAGCUGUGAAAUCCCCGGGCUCAACCUGGGCACUGCAGUUGGAACUGGCAAGCUAGAGUAGGGUAGAGGGGUGUGGAAUUCCAGGUGUAGCGGUGAAAUGCGUAGAUACCUGGAGGAACAUCAGUGGCGAAGGCGACACCCUGGACUCAUACUGACACUGAGGUGCGAAAGCGUGGGGAUCAAACAGG
rnacentral:rRNA from 1 species